rnacentral:rRNA from 1 species
GAUGAACGCUGGCGGCGUGCCUAAUACAUCCAAGUCGAGCGAAAAAACGGGGGGCUUGCUCCUCUGCCGUUAGCGCCGGACGGGUGAUUACCACGUGGAUAACCUCCUUUUAGGCCGGGGAAACCUUCGGAAACCCGGGGCUAAAACCGGUAAUUUAAUUGAACCCCAUGGUUCAUUGUUAAAAGACGGUUUUGCUUUCACUUAUAGAGGGAUCCGCGCCGCAUUAGCUAGUUGGUAAGGUAACGGCUUACCAAGGCAACGAUGCGUAGCCGACCUGAGAGGGUGAUCGGCCACACUGGAACUGAGACACGGUCCAGACUCCUACGGGAGGCAGCAGUAGGGAAUCUUCCGCAAUGGGCGAAAGCUUGACGGAGCAACGCCGCGUGAGUGAUGAAGGUCUUCGGACCGUAAAACUCUGUUAUUAGGGAAGAACAAAUGUGUAAGUAACUAUGCACGUCUUGACGGUACCUAAUCAGAAAGCCACGGCUAACUACGUG